UCGAGGACCGUACAGGAUCAAUAGAGUAUUGGAUAAUGAUCGUUAUGAGGUUGUCGACAUUGAGGACUGUCAGUUGACGCAAAUUGUAACAUUUCCACGAUAUAUUUCUAUCCGUGAGUAGGGGAUGGAUUGGAGGGGAUGUCGAGGUCACGGCCGGGGGGGAUUCUUUGGUUCCGUGCUCAUUCGAAUCCCGUGACUCUACCGGGAGCGAACUCCGAAAACAACACUAUGCCUAUUCCGAGCAUAACGGACAUUAAAUGGCACAAUCAUAGGGCUUACCCGAAAAGUACUAGUGGCUUUCGUCGGCGUGUUCCAAACUCUCGCGGGCGUGAGGUCUUGCGAUGGAAGUCGACCCACACGAUUCUAUACCCACCCUUCCAUGAUUUCCAGUGGUGCGAAGGUUCUGGAAAUCCCUAAAAUUCUUACCCUACCCCAUUACGUCACCCUGUCCCUUGGAAAUUAUAAGUCUACUCCAUGUUCAUUGCUAAUAACAUUCAAUAUAUUUCGUUGUACUUCAUCAUAGACAUGUUGCUUCAAUCAAAAACUAGCAAAC